rnacentral:rRNA from 1 species
UACGGGGGGGGCAAGCGUUGUUCGGAAUUACUGGGCGUAAAGGGUGCGUAGGCGGUCCGCUAAGUUGGAUGUGAAAACUCUGGGCUUAACCCAGAGCCUGCAUUCAAAACUGACGGGCUAGAGUUCUGGAGGGGUAGCGGAAUUCCUGGUGUAGCGGUGAAAUGCGUAGAUAUCAGGAGGAACACCGGUGGCGAAGGCGGCUACCUGGACAGAAACUGACGCUGAGGCACGAAAGCUAGGGGAGCAAACAGG